rnacentral:rRNA from 1 species
GACGAACGCUGGCGGCGUGCCUAAUACAUGCAAGUCGAGCGGACGAAUCGAAAGCUUGCUUUUCAUUCGUUAGCGGCGGACGGGUGAGUAACACGUGGGCAACCUGCCCUGUAGACGGGGAUAACACCGAGAAAUCGGUGCUAAUACCGGAUAACACGAAAUGUCGCAUGACGUUUCGUUGAAAGACGGCGCAAGCUGCCGCUACAGGAUGGGCCCGCGGCGCAUUAGCUAGUUGGUGAGGUAACGGCUCACCAAGGCGACGAUACGUAGCCGACCUGAGAGGGUGAUCGGCCACACUGGGACUGAGACACGGCCCAGACUCCUACGGGAGGCAGCAGUAGGGAAUCUUCCGCAAUGGACGAAAGUCUGACGGAGCAACGCCGCGUGAGCGAAGAAGGCCUUCGGGUCGUAAAGCUCUGUUGUUAGGGAAGAACAAGUAACGCAGUAACUGGCGUUACCGUGACGGUACCUAACGAGAAAGCCACGGCUAACUACGUG